AAGUCGAGCGGUACAGAUCUAGCUUGCUAGAUGCUGACGAGCGGCGGACGGGUGAGUAAUGCAUAGGAAUCUGCCCGAUAGUGGGGGAUAACCUGGGGAAACCCAGGCUAAUACCGCAUACGUCCUACGGGAGAAAGGGGGCUUCGGCUCCCGCUAUUGGAUGAGCCUAUGUCGGAUUAGCUAGUUGGUAAGGUAAUGGCUUACCAAGGCAACGAUCCGUAGCUGGUCUGAGAGGAUGAUCAGCCACAUCGGGACUGAGACACGGCCCGAACUCCUACGGGAGGCAGCAGUGGGGAAUAUUGGACAAUGGGGGCAACCCUGAUCCAGCCAUGCCGCGUGUGUGAAGAAGGCCCUCGGGUUGUAAAGCACUUUCAGCGAGGAAGAACGCCUGGCGGUUAAUACCCGGCAGGAAAGACAUCACUCGCAGAAGAAGCACCGGCUAACUCCGUGCCAGCAGCCGCGGUAAUACGGAGGGUGCAAGCGUUAAUCGGAAUUACUGGGCGUAAAGCGCGCGUAGGUGGCUUGAUAAGCCGGUUGUGAAAGCCCCGGGCUCAACCUGGGAACGGCAUCCGGAACUGUCAGGCUAGAGUGCAGGAGAGGAAGGUAGAAUUCCCGGUGUAGCGGUGAAAUGCGUAGAGAUCGGGAGGAAUACCAGUGGCGAAGGCGGCCUUCUGGACUGACACUGACACUGAGGUGCGAAAGCGUGGGUAGCAAACAGGAUUAGAUACCCUGGUAGUCCACGCCGUAAACGAUGUCGACCAGCCGUUGGGUGCCUAGAGCACUUUGUGGCGAAGUUAACGCGAUAAGUCGACCGCCUGGGGAGUACGGCCGCAAGGUUAAAACUCAAAUGAAUUGACGGGGGCCCGCACAAGCGGUGGAGCAUGUGGUUUAAUUCGAUGCAACGCGAAGAACCUUACCUACCCUUGACAUCUACAGAAGCCGGAAGAGAUUCUGGUGUGCCUUCGGGAACUGUAAGACAGGUGCUGCAUGGCUGUCGUCAGCUCGUGUUGUGAAAUGUUGGGUUAAGUCUCGUAACGAGCGCAACCCUUGUCCUUAUUUGCCAGCACGUAAUGGUGGGAACUCUAACGAGACUGCCGGUGACAAACCGGAAGGAAAGUGGGGACGACGUCAAGUCAUCAUGGCCCUUACGGGUAGGGCUACACACGUGCUACAAUGGCCGGUACAAAGGGUUGCGA
rnacentral:rRNA from 1 species